GAGGGUAUAGCCCAGUGGUAGAGUGCAUGCAUAGCACAGGGUCCUGGGUUCAAUCCCUAGUACCUCCA
rnacentral:tRNA from 1 species